CAGCAGCCACGGUAAUACAGAGGGUGCGAGCGUUAAUCGGAUUUACUGGGCGUAAAGCGUGCGUAGGCGGCUAAUUGAGUCGGAUGUGAAAUCCCCGAGCUUAACUUGGGAAUUGCAUUCGAUACUGGUUAGCUAGAGUGUGGGAGAGGAUGGUAGAAUUCCAGGUGUAGCGGUGAAAUGCGUAGAGAUCUGGAGGAAUACCGAUGGCGAAGGCAGCCAUCUGGCCUAAUACUGACGCUGAGGUACGAAAGCAUGGGGAGCAAACAGGAUUAGAUACCCCCGUAGUCCCUGUCUCUUAUAC
rnacentral:rRNA from 1 species